rnacentral:rRNA from 1 species
UACGAAGGGGCUAGCGUUGCUCGGAAUUACUGGGCGUAAAGGCGCGUAGGCGGAUAGUUUAGUCAGAGGUAAAAGCCCAGGCUCAACCUUGGAACUGCCUUUGAUACUGGCUAUCUUGAGUUCGGGAGAGGUGAGUGGAAUGCCGAGUGUAGAGGUGAAAUUCGUAGAUAUUCGGCGGAACACCAGUGGCGAAGGCGACUCACUGGCCCGAUACUGACGCUGAGGCGCGAAAGCGUGGGAGCAACAGGG